rnacentral:rRNA from 1 species
AACGAACGCUGGCGGCAGGCCUAACACAUGCAAGUCGAGCGAGACCUUCGGAUCUAGCGGCGGACGGGUGAGUAACGCGUGGGAAUAUGCCCUUCUCUACGGAAUAGCCUCGGGAAACUGAGAGUAAUACCGUAUACGCCCUUUGGGGGAAAGAUUUAUCGGAGAAGGAUUAGCCCGCGUUGGAUUAGGUAGUUGGUGGGGUAAUGGCCUACCAAGCCUACGAUCCGUAGCUGGUUUGAGAGGAUGAUCAGCCACACUGGGACUGAGACACGGCCCAGACUCCUACGGGAGGCAGCAGUGGGGAAUCUUAGACAAUGGGGGCAACCCUGAUCUAGCCAUGCCGCGUGAGUGAUGAAGGCCUUAGGGUUGUAAAGCUCUUUCAGCCGGGAAGAUAAUGACGGUACCAGCAGAAGAAGCCCCGGCUAACUCCGUGCCAGCCGCCGCCGUAACAC